rnacentral:rRNA from 1 species
AACGAACGCUGGCGGCAUGCCUAACACAUGCAAGUCGAACGAGACCUUCGGGUCUAGUGGCGCACGGGUGCGUAACGCGUGGGAACCUGCCCUUAGGUUCGGAAUAACUCCCCGAAAGGGGUGCUAAUACCGGAUAAUGUCUUCGGACCAAAGAUUUAUCGCCUUUGGAUGGGCCCGCGUUGGAUUAGCUAGUUGGUAGGGUAAAAGCCUACCAAGGCGACGAUCCAUAGCUGGUCUGAGAGAAUGAUCAGCCACACUGGGACUGAGACACGGCCCAGACUCCUACGGGAGGCAGCAGUGGGGAAUAUUGGACAAUGGGCGAAAGCCUGAUCCAGCAAUGCCGCGUGAGUGAUGAAGGCCUUAGGGUUGUAAAGCUCUUUUACCCGGGAUGAUAAUGACAGUACCGGGAGAAUAAGCGCCGGCUAACUCCGUG